AUUGAACGCUGGCGGCAUGCUUUACACAUGCAAGUCGAACGGUAACAGGCCGCAAGGUGCUGACGAGUGGCGGACGGGUGGGUAAGGCAUCGGAACGUGCCCAGUCGUGGGGGAUAACUACUCGAAAGAGUAGCUAAUACCGCAUACGAUCUAUGGAUGAAAGCGGGGGACCGUAAGGCCUCGCGCGAUUGGUGCGGCCGAUGUCAGAUUAGGUAGUUGGUGGGGUAAAGGCUCACCAAGCCAACGAUCUGUAGCUGGUCUGAGAGGACGACCAGCCACACUGGGACUGAGACACGGCCCAGACUCCUACGGGAGGCAGCAGUGGGGAAUUUUGGACAAUGGGCGAAAGCCUGAUCCAGCAAUGCCGCGUGCAGGAAGAAGGCCUUCGGGUUGUAAACUGCUUUUGUACGGAACGAAACGGCUCUGGUUAAUACCCGGGGCUAAUGACGGUACCGUAAGAAUAAGCACCGGCUAACUACGUG
rnacentral:rRNA from 1 species